UUCACUCUAGCGAGACUGCCGGUGAUAAACCGGAGGAAGGUGGGGACGACGUCAAAUCAUCAUGCCCCUUAUGAUCUGGGCUACACACGUGUUACAAUGGCUGGUACAACGAGCCGCCAACUCGUGAGAGUGAGCAAAUCUCUAAAAACCAGUCUCAGUUCGGAUUGCACUCUGCAACUCGAGUGCAUGAAGUCGGAAUCGCUAGUAAACGCAGAUCAGCACGCUGCGUUGAAUACGUUCCCGGGUCUUGUACACACCGCCCGUCACACCAUGGAAGUCGACCACGCCCGAAGUACGUGAGCUAACCGUAAGGGAGCAGCGUCCUAAGGCAGGGUUGGUGACUGGGGUGAAGUCGUAACAAGGUAACCGUAAA
rnacentral:rRNA from 1 species